UCAUACAAGGGGUUAUUUUCAGGUUAGGUCUUAUUUUUGGAGAAAUUGUAUAUUGUCAUGUAGUCCUCCCUCAUUGUCAGGCACUGCCACCUGGAUAUUUGUGCAAAUGCCCAAAUAUGGCCUUUGGGAAGACAAUUCUUCCAUCUUCCAGUGACCCCUCCUGCUUCCAGUGAGUUUGCCAGUCAGCCACCUUUGCAAAUUUCCAAAAACCGCAAAGGAGGAUGGAUUGCUUACCUGUAACUGGGUCUUCAAGGGGUCAUCUGUGGAAUCACACAACCACCUACCAGCCCAUCAGCAUAUCUGGGUUGCCAUAGAAGCAGAUUCCGAACAGAGAGAAGCUGCCAGGAGAGCAAGCAGCACAUGCAUACUGGAGGGGAGAAGGAACAAAAAUCACUCACUCUAAUACUGUAGCAGCUCUGCACAGAUGCAAGACCACCAUGCCCAUGAUUUCACAUAUGAUGACUUGAUGACCCUCAAUUACAGUUUAGCAGCCAGGCAGCUCCCAGUGCUUCUGGAAGGCUUUUAAAUAAUUCUGCCCACUUGGAUGAUCACUCCAUCUUGAAGUCUCUGCACUGGCCGACUUUUUCCCAUACAGAGAACAAACCUUCCAUCCUACAUCCAAAAUGAAGAUUUACAAGCUGAAUAUAUCACUGGUGUUAGAUGUCUUCACAGCCAUACAGAUUCGGGAUGCUAUCAUAUUCUGACAACGAUGUUGUGCUGCAUUCAGACCAGUCUCCUAAAUUCUUCAGUAAAUGCGUUUUUCUGAUCCCUAGAUGUCUUUUUCCAUUUGUUUUCCAUUGAAUAACCAGCUAGAACAAUCUGUAUGCUUCACUUCUUAUCACAUGACUGAAACAUUCUAGCUUUUGGCAAUUUAUGUGUUUUCUGAUUUAUCGGACUCUAUUUAUAAUUUGCUGCAGUACUUUUUAAUUGGUCAGCCUCUCAAGCCAACAAAUUCUUAGCCUUCAAUUAUAAAUCCACAUUUUAAAUCAUUCUCUUUAUAGUAGCUUAUGUAAAAAGUUCACAAUUACAUAGCAUACAGCAGAACUGUGAAUCCACAGCACAUGUACAAUGCACAUUCUCCAAGCUAUUCUGCAUAUUACAUUCUUCAUCUUGAGGAAGCUGCUCUGAGCAUCUUUAUUGUGACUUUUAUUGUAUGUCUAUAAUCUACUUACUCAUUUAACAAAUUAUUAGGUUCUUAUAUUUGCCAACACACCUCAUACUUUCAUUUUGGAUCUUCCACCUGCACCUCUUGAGCUGUAUGUUUUUAAUUGAUUACAGUACUAUGAACUAAGUUUCCAUAACAUUCGGUUUUAGACCAUUUUAAUUAUUUAACAGACUUCUCUGAGUAAACUCUGUAGACUAUUUAAACUGUUCACUCUAUGUAUUGUUUGUAUUUCAGAUGUUAUUGAUGACUUCUUCAUGGACGGUGAUACUAUUGUUUGAUUUAGACCAGGGGUGGUCAAUUAAUUUCUAUAGGGGGGCCACAUGAAAAAUCUGAACUUUGUUUAGGGG